UCCGAGUUAGACCCGGCAGUCUCGCUAGACAUAGUAACCAGCGACGAGGGUUGCGCUCGUUGCGGGACUUAACCCAACACCUCACGGCACGAGCUGACGACAGCCAUGCAGCAUCUGUGCACGGGUCCCGAAGGAGGGCCCCAUCUCUGGGGCUUACCCGUGCAUGUCUAGCCCUGGUAAGGUUCUUCGCGUUGCGUCGAAUUAAACCACAUGCUCCACCGCUUGUGCGGGCCCCCGUCAAUUCCUUUGAGUUUCAGCCUUGCGGCCGUACUCCCCAGGCGGGGUACUUCCUGCGUUAGCGCCGGCACCCAAGGGGUCGCUCCCCCAGGCACCUAGUACCCAUCGUUUACGGCGUGGACUAC
rnacentral:misc_RNA from 1 species